rnacentral:rRNA from 1 species
AGUGAACGCUGGCGGCAGGCCUAACACAUGCAAGUCGAACGGCAGCACGGGAGUAACCUGGCCGACGGGGGGGGGACGGGUGAGCAAUUGCUCGGGAGAUGGGAAUAUCUGCUGGAUAAGGUGGGUAAACAGCCGCACAUACGGGAUCAGAACAACGGACCCACGGGGGGAAGCGCGCGCGCUUCGGCAGUUAGGUGAGCGGACGAGGGGUUAGCGAGUUGGUGGGGUAAAGGCGUACCAAGGCGACGAGCCGUAGCUGGUCUGAGAGGAUGAGCAGCCACACUGGGACUGAGACACGGUCCAGACUCCUACGGGAGGCAGCAGUGGGGAAUAUUGGACAAUGGGCGCAAGCCUGAUCCAGCCAUGCCGCGUGGGUGAAGAAGGCCUUCGGGUUGUAAAGCACUUUUGUCGGGAAAGAAAAGCAUCAAGUUAAUACCUCGAUGCGAUGACGGUACCUGAAGAAUAAGCACCGGCUAACUUCGUG